UCUAGUGACGAUGGCAAAGAGGCCACACCCGUUCCCAUCCCGAACACGGAAGUUAAGCUCUUUUGCGCCGAUGGUAGUUGG
rnacentral:rRNA from 1 species